GGAGCAUUCCCUGCAUUUGGCCAUCCCACAGCCAGUAGACAGGAAUGUUCCAUGAACCUUCGUAACUUUGUGGUCACCAAAACGUGGUAACACUUAUGUACUGCCUGGGUAAGGUCUGCUACUUGAUUUUACCAGGUUGUACACAAAACAAAGCGUCCCACUAUACCAAGGUUAAUGUGACAAUAAAGUAUAAUUGAAUCAUUAAAUCAUUAAAGUGGAUCCAAUGUAGGAAGGGGUUUGAGUAGCAAGGGCCGGCGCACAUCUCACUUAGACACUGACCCUGGGCAAUUAUAGGAAAUACGGUUUAAGCCAGUCAGACAUCCUAUGGAAAUUCGGGGUGAGCAGUGCUCGUGGGGUAUGGGGCAAUGGGAAACACUAUGGGGCUUAGACGUAAGGAAGUCGGAUUCUUUCAGCUUUCUGCACCUCUUGCUUCGUAUGUUCAGAUUAAUAUGAGAAUUGGGAGACAUGGGGCAUGUGCGGGAAAGUGGUGAUUUGUUAAAAGGACCUUACAGAAUAAAAGAGCAGCCCCAAAGUCCUUAAUUGUCUAUUCCUGCUGCUUCUUAUGUUCUUAUGUUUUUUUAACAUUUAGGAACAAAUCCUCUGGUUGCAGUGAGCUCUCCCAAGAAUCCUUCUCAUUGAUUGGGUUUCCGGCUAUGGCAAUAUAGCAGGUGUGGACAGGCAGUAGUAAAUUUACUGGGAAACAUUCAAGGUUCAGACUUUGGGCGGGGGGGACUAAUUGAGUGCAGAAUGGUUACCACUAAAGAGGAUUACACAUCUGCACCAACAGAAUAGGGAGUCUGAAGACAGGUUCCGACCCAAAACGUCACCUGUUCCUUUUCUCCAGACCCACUGAGUUACUCCAACACCAUGUCUAUCUUCGGUGUUAACUAGCUACUGCAGUUCCUUCCUACAGAUAGAUAUUCUUAAAGCCCCUCAUGUUGAGAAUGUUUAAUAAAUGAAGAUUUCAAAAUUACUUGCAAAAAUUCAUCACAGGUACUGACCUCUCCAUAAUCGAAGUGAUCUAUAAGAGGUGCUGACUCAAGAAAGCAGCCAAUAUCAUCAAUGUCCCCCAUGUUCCCAUUUCACUGCUGCCAUCAGAAAGAAGGUACAGGAGACUGAAAAACAUGACCAGCAGGUUCAAGAACAGUUUCUUCCUGACAACUAUCAAGCCCUUAAACAAUACACAACAUAAAGGCUCAACAACUUUGAACUUUUAUUGUCUGACUUUGGUUGCAGUAAGGACUUUUGUUAUCAUGUUUAUUAUUUUUUUUAAUUAAAAAAAAAUAUAUUAUAUAUUAUCUCUGGCAUUGCAUUUAUGGUAUGAUAAGCUGGCGCAAGUAAAAAAUUCAUUGUUCCAUGUCAGUCCAUAUGACAAUUAAACGCUCUUGACAUGACUGUUGAAAUUCACACUCACUAAGAAUCUCAUUAAUUGACACAAAUGCAUUUCACUAUACAGAAUAUUUUAUCAGGCCUCGAGAGAGGGUGCUGUGAAAAUUACUUUGGUGGUCUGUGUGAUUAAUCCUAUUUACCAGCCUCGAUACAGUAUAUAGUGGUUUACACAUCUAAAAUCAGUAGGUGCAUUUCUCAUCCAAAUGAUUUAAGCUGUCUCCCAACUGCGUUUAAAGCAAUGAAGGCAUUAAAAAAUAAUGUUCAAGAUUUGAAACGAAAAAUACCCAGAAGUGCGCAAUCAAUCAGUCUUCAGGUCCAACGCUUUAGAACAUAGGACAUAGAACAGUACAGGAAUGCCCCCAUCAGCCCACAAUGUUUGUGCCAAAUAUGUUGCCAAGUUAAACUGAUCUCAUCCACCUGUACAUGUUACAUAUCCCUCUAUUCCCUAUAUACUUCAGUUGCCUAUUUAAAAGCCUCUUAAUCAUCAUUAUUGUAUCAGCAUCCACUAGCAACACUUCUGGCAACAUGCUAUUGGCCCCCACCACUCACUGUGGAAACAACUUGCUACGCACAUCUCAAUUAAACUUUUGUCCUCUCAAGUUAUAGCUGUACCCUCUAGUGGUGGACAUUUCCACCCUGUGAAAAAUACUCUGACUGUCUACACUCCAAACUAUCAAUGCCUCUCGUAAUUAUAUAUACUUCUAUCAAGCCUCCCCUGAGCCUCUGACGUUCCAGGGGAAAGUAUCCAGGUCUAUCCAACUUCUCCUUGUUGCUGAAACACUCUAAUCCAGGCAACCUCCCCUGCACCCUCUCCAAAUCCUACAUAUCCUUCCUGUAAUGGGCUGACCAGAACUGCACGAGAUACUCCAAAUGCGGUCUAACCUGUGUCUUACAGAGCUGCACGUGGCAUUCUGAGUCUGAUACUCAAUGCUGCUGGCAAUGAAGGCAAGCAUAUCAUAUGGCUUCUUUACCCCCCCUAUCCACAUGUGUUGCUAACUUCAGUGAGCUAUGAACUUGGACUCUAAAAUCCAUCUUUGCAUCUUUGUACUUUAUUACUUUGCAUCUUUGUACUCUGUGACUUCUUUUCAUCUUCUGCUUCUUAGUUCAGGAAUGUAUGAACAUUUUGUUCAGAUGGGUGGAAUGAAUGAUACAGAUGGCAGAUAGACAGGGGAAAACUGAACGAGAAACAAAGGAGCAUUGAAAUUAUUACCAAGACUGUGGAGGCCAAGUCAAAUGGGUAUGUUUAAGGUGCAGAUUGACAGAUUCUUGAUUAGUAAGGGUGUCAGGGGUUUUAGGGAGAAUGGCAAACAUCACCUCAUUCUGGCUACAACAUCACUUUAUUUAUUUUAUCUCCAUGUUUCCAAACCAGAAGAGGCAGUGAGCAGGUCAGUGGUGCAGCAAGUCGAGCUGCUGCCUGACAGUGCCGGCAAUCCACAAUCAGUCCUGAUCAUCGGUAGUGCAUGUGUGGCAUUUACACACUCAAAUAGUGUCAUUGCUUUAUAUGUACCUUAAUAACCACCCGCUGACAUUAUUAUAGGCUUUAUUAUCCAUAACAAACCAAAAGGCUUCAUACAAACUUGAUAGUGUAACUUUUAUCCUUGAUUUCCACAUAUGAAUUAUCUAGGUUUUUUUACAAAUAUGGCUCAGAUUUAUUUAAUUGGCCAGAUUUUCCUGUGGAGUGCGAAUAUUUCAAGUGGUAACUUUCAAUAUGUCGCCGCACAAGUGUCAGGAAAUCAGGAGUCUCAUGCAAAGACAGGGCUUCCUGAUAUAUUGUUGCCAGCAAUUUCCUGGCUGUCUUUUGAUAUUGGACUCAUCAUAGAAGCCAGCAGUGAAGCCAUGAUAUCCUGCAGCUUCCUCAAGAUAUGCCUGGAGGUUUGUCUUGCAGAACCUGUGCCAGGUUAGACUUGGCAUUGGUUUAAUGCUCCUUUUCAUUUCAAUGGAGAGCCAUGGGAGGGAGGUAAUUUUCAGAUAGAGUUAGCUUUAUUCGAAUUGAUGGAGUUUGCUUAAAUGUAUUUUUAAAACUUUCCAACUGGAGGAACUCAGCAGGUUUGGCAGCAUCUGUGGAGGGAGUGGACAGAUGGGAUUUUGGGACGGGAUCCUUCUUCUGAAUUUUCAAAUGUUUCACAAUUUUGUUUCCUAAAGUUUCAAACUUUGAACAUUUUAGUAGUGUCUAUGCUAAUCAUGUUUGAACACAUUCGAAUGUCUGCAACUGGGCAUACAUAUUCAAGCUGUGGAUGUGGAUGGGGAGAGGAGAGUCUAGGACCAGAGGCCCUAGAAUAAAAGAACGUACCUUUAGAAAGGAGAUGAGGAGGAAUUUUUGUAGCCAGAGGGUGGUGAAUCUGUAGAAUUCAUUGCCACAGACUGGUGUGGAAGUCAAUUCUGGGGAUUUACAGGUUCUUGGUUAGUAAGAGCAUCAAAGGUAAUGGGGAGAAGGCAGGAGAAUAGGUUUGAGAGGGAAAGAUAGAUCAUCCAUGAUCAAAUGGUGGAGCAGACUUUCCACUUUAAAAAUACCCAAUGACUUGGCCUCCACAACCAUCUAUGGCAAUGAAUUUGACAGAUUCUCUACCCUCAGACUAAAAUAAUUCCUCUUAAUUUCCUUUCGCAAGGUACAUCCUUUUAUUCUAAGGCUGUGCCUCUGGUCUUAGAUGCUCCCACUAGUGGAAACAUCCUCUCCACAUCCACCAUAUCUAGGCCUUUCAUUAUUCGAUAAGAUUCAAUGAGAUUUCCCCCUCAAUUCUUCUUAACUCCAGUGAGUACAGGCCCAGAGCCAAAAAAUGCUGAUCCUAUGUUAACCCAAACCUCCCUGGUAUCAUUCUCAAACAAUACGUCUCACAAUACUCCAAACACAGUCUGACCAGUGCCUUAAAAAGCCUCAUCAUUUUAUCCCUGAUUUUAUAUUUUAUUCCUUUAUUACAGACAUUUUGUUUGUACAAACAUCAUGUAAGUAUAAACUGCUGCUGCUAUUCCAUGCUAUUCUGAGUUUUAAAUGCUUUGGAUUCCUUUAUCCACAGUGAAGGUCAGGUUAACUAGGAUUAUUGCUUCAACCUUUGCCUGUUCAAGGAUGUAAUAGUUAAGGGAAACCUCAGCAAUUUCAGGAUCCAUGAGGACUAGGACAAAAGAGGGAAAUUUCAUAUUAAAACAGAAAGAAUGCUUUGCUGAGAAUUUUUUAUUUAGCUUCCCGUGAGGCAAUAUUGAAAGGCACUUACUUUAGUUUAGAGAUACAGCAUAGCAAGAGGCCCUUCCGCCCAUUGAGUCCAGGCCAGCCAUCGGACAUUCGUUCAUAUUAAUUCUAUGUUAUCCAUCUUUGUCAUCCAAUCCAUCCAUGCUAGGGGCAAUUUUACUGAGGUCAAUUAGCCUACAACCCUUUAUGGGAUGCAACCAUCUUUGGGAUGUGGGAGGAAAGCAGAGCACCCGGAGGAAACCCACACAGCCAUAGGAUGAACGUAUAACCUCCACACAGACAGCACCCAAGAUCGGGAUCAAACCUGAUCUUGGUGCUGUGAGGCAGCAACUCUACCAGUCGCACCACUGUCUCCCUUUUCAACAUUAUAUUUUACUUGGGUGUUUUGGAUGCUGACACCAGUCACUUUGAUGAGUUGAAAUACCAGGGGGGGGAUUGAAACAAUGUCAAUGAAAAAAUUGCAUACCAAGUGUAUGAGGCACACUUGAACACAGUGAAUGUCACCUCCUGAUAAAGAGCUUUGGAAUCCAAUGUAAAUUCUUGUAUAUUUCUUCUUUUGGUAAGGAAUGCCAAAUAUAUAUUUUACCGCCUGUUAAGGCACAAAGUGCUAUCAGUAAUUACGUAAAGCAGUUCUAAUGAAAGUCUAUUGCUUUGUGCCUACUGCUUCCCCAAGAGCAAUUAACAAAGCAUCCCUCAACUUUUUUCCUGCAGGCUAACCACAAAAGCUAUAAAAUUAAGAUGGAUUGUACAUCAGGAAAUGCAUGCAUCAUGCUCAGUUGGGAAAUUGAAUGAGAUGGCUUAAUGAAGCAGCACCAGAUUUCUUUCUGUAAAUUUACAGCUCAAUUCCAUCUUCAUGAAUAAGGAAACAAAAAACAAAGAACCGUUGUGUUCCCAAUGCACUCCCACAUGAACUCUCGCCGAAAAAGAAGAAAGAUUUCAGAGGACGGGAUAACCUUCAGAGGCAUGUUCAUUUUCCCAUUGUUUCUAAAACCAUGAACAAAUGAUUAAAGAUGUGAAGAUGUGUGUGAAACGGAAUAAAGCACACUCAGGGGCUACAUCUCCAAGGUUUGUGGACAGUGGUGAGCUGCCACCCUUCGACCGUUUAAGACCAGCUAGCAAUUUGUGAAGCUGGCUCUUCUGCUGAUGGAUGCAGCCAUGAGCAAAGCAGGAAAUGGCAAGUGAACGCAGCAUAAUGUUUAAGUGCAGACAGCACUGAUUUACGGCAAGUACCUCUGAUGCUAAAAAAACCCAACGUGCGUUCAAUAAAGGUAUCACAAUCCCCAUAUAACCAUAUAACCAUAUAACCAUAUAACAAUUACAGCAUGGAAACAGGCCCUCUCGACCCUUCUAGUCCGUGCCGAACACGUAUUCUCCCCUAGUCCCAUAUACCUGCGCUCAGACCAUAACCCUCCAUUCCUUUCCCGUCCAUAUAACUAUCCAAUUUAUUUUUAAAUUAUAAAAAUGAACCUGCCUCCACCACCUUCACUGGAAACUCAUUCCACACAGCCACCACUCUCUGAUCCCCACUUUUGGUUUGCCAAAGUUAUUCAGUUUAACCACUCUGGUAAAAAGUGUGAGGUGGAGGUACUUCAAUGCAGGCAACAGUCAUCCAUACCUUGCAUGCUCAUUUUACGAAUCUGCAUCUGAGGUGAGUCGAGAAUUUGGAGAAAAUAAAGUGGGUUGGGGUAGGAUUAGUGUAUAAAAUGGAAGCUUGAUGGUUGGAACAGACUUGGCGGGACAAAGGGCCUGUUGCAUCUCUAUAACUCUGUGACUAAAUAAAGAUAAGUGAUAAUGUUUACACAUGAAUUUUUUUAAUAAACUGAUUUUCAUUCAAUUAGACAAGUUAAACCAGGAAAAACAAUAUGAAUCAACACUUGAUCAAGAUUAAUGUGCAGUCCUAGCGAAGUCAUAUUUAAAGCACGGGUUGUUUGAUAAAUGAGGCAAAGUAACAAAAUGAGUUCCUUGUUUUGAAAUGUCUGCACGGUGAGAAAUUGAUGCUGAGUGAGUUCCUCAAAACCAAAAACCUUGACUGCAUCAAAUCAGAGUCAAUUUACUGCACAAAUAGUUCUAAAUGAGCCUUGGGUGAAAGGCUCUGAAACAUUUCAACUUGUUCCCAUGUCAACAGUUGGAGCCACUUACACAGUAAAGGUCUGGAUUGUGGAUUGCAAAGGCCAGGUCAAGCAUGAGGAUAAUGGAGCAGGGUUUUGAGAUUCUGUGCAGUGUGUUUGUAGUGGAUCUCUGUCUGCUUUCUGACCCAGACAAGGGAUUUCUCGUCAUUACAGCGCAACUCUAAUGGGACCCGCUGAGUUCCUCCAGCAGUUCGGUUUUGGUCCUUUAUGAGGAUGUUGCCAGGGCUCGAGGGCCUGAGCUGUACAAGAUUUAAUAGGAAUCUGAGGGGUAACUUUUUACACAAAGAUUGGUGGGUGCAUGGAACGAGUUGCCAGAGGACGCCGUUGAGACAGGUUGCCCAAGUGGAACAGCCCCUUAACCUGCAUAUCUUUGGGACAUGGGAGAAAACUGGAGUACUCAUAGGAAACCCACGCAGUCAAGAGGAGAAUGUGCAACUAAACAUCAGGAUUGAAACCAGAUCACGUGAGCUGUGCGUCUACUAAGCAAUCACAUGUGGAGUUCUGAGUUUCUCUGGGCAGGACUGGUCCUUGCAAGUUCUUUGAUUUGUUUGAAAUCAAAGACAGAAGGUCUACAUCUAAAUAAAACAGGUCAGCAUUUGUAUUGUGAUCAAUGAAGCAUGCUCAACCUGCCAUGCAAAUUAGAUAAAUUACACUUCCUUUUCAAACCUUUUAGACUUGCAGCGGAGAAAGUGCAGCCUAUCUGUAAAUAAACAAAAAAGUCAAACAAAGGAAGAGAAAAAUUCAUGCUUUCCAAUCCACCAGGAGGCUGAAAAGGUGAAAAACAUCCCCCCAUGUACGUAAUUAGUUUUCAUAUAAGGUA